rnacentral:rRNA from 1 species
AACGAACGCUGGCGUCAUGCCUAACACAUGCAAGUCGAACGAGACCUUCGGGUCUAGUGGCGCACGGGUGCGUAACGCGUGGGAACCUGCCCUUAGGUUCGGAAUAACUCCCCGAAAGGGGUGCUAAUACCGGAUAAUAUCUUCGGACCAAAGAUUUAUCGCCUUUGGAUGGGCCCGCGUUGGAUUAGCUAGUUGGUAGGGUAAAAGCCUACCAAGGCGACGAUCCAUAGCUGGUCUGAGAGGAUGAUCAGCCACACUGGGACUGAGACACGGCCCAGACUCCUACGGGAGGCAGCAGUGGGGAAUAUUGGAAAAUGGGCGAAAGCCUGAUCCAGCAAUGCCGCGUGAGUGAUGAAGGCCUUAGGGUUGUAAAGCUCUUUUACCCGGGAUGAUAAUGACAGUACCGGGAGAAUAAGCUCCGGCUAACUCCGUG